CUUUGGUUCUAUUUUGUUGGUUUCUAGGACCGAAGUAAUGAUUAAUAGGGAUAGUUGGGGGCAUUAGUAUUUCCUUGUCAGAGGUGAAAUUCUUGGAUUUAGGAAAGACUAACUUCUGCGAAAGCAUUUGCCAAGGAUGUUUUCAUUAAUCAAGAACGAAAGUUAGGGGAUCGAAGACGAUCAGAUACCGUCGUAGUCUUAACCAUAAACUAUGCCGACUAGGGAUCGGGCGAUGUUAUUUUUCUGACUCGCUCGGCACCUUACGAGAAAUCAAAGUUUUUAGGUUCCGGGGGGAGUAUGGUCGCAAGGCUGAAACUUAAAGGAAUUGACGGAAGGGCACCACCAGGAGUGGAGCCUGCGGCUUAAUUUGACUCAACACGG
rnacentral:rRNA from 1 species